rnacentral:rRNA from 1 species
CCUACGGGAGGCAGCAGUGAGGAAUAUUGGUCAAUGGGCGGGAGCCUGAACCAGCCAAGCCGCGUGAGGGAAGAAGGUACAGCGUAUCGUAAACCUCUUUUGUCAGGGAACAAAGGCGCGGACUAGUCCCCGGAUGAGGGUACCUGAAGAAAAAGCAUCGGCUAACCCCGGUCCAGCAGCCGCGGUAAUACGGGGGAUGCGAGCGUUAUCCGGAUUGAUUGGGUUUAAAGGGUGCGCAGGCGGCCUGUUAAGUCAGCGGUAAAAGCCCGGGGCUCAACCCCGGCGAGCCGUUGAAACUGGCGGGCUGGAGUUGGAGAGAGGUACGCGGAAUGCGCGGUGUAGCGGUGAAAUGCGUAGAUAUCGCGCAGAACCCCGAUGGCGAAGGCAGCGUACCGGCUCGACACUGACGCUGAGGCACGAAAGCGUGGGUAGCGAACAGGAUUAGAUACCCUUGUAGUC